rnacentral:rRNA from 1 species
UACGUAGGGUGCAAGCGUUGUCCGGAAUUAUUGGGCGUAAGAGCUCGUAGGCGGUUUGUCGCGUCGGCUGUGAAAACCUGGGGCUCAACCCCGGGCCUGCAGCCGAUGCGGGCAAACUAGAAUUCGGUAGGGGAGACGUGGAAUUCCCGGUGUAGCGGUGAAAUGCGCAGAUAUCGGGAAGAACACCCGUGGCUAAGGCGGCUCUCUAGUACGGUACUGACGCUGAGACGCGAAAGCGUGGGGAGCGAACAGG